GAGCCCGCACAAGCAGUGGAGUAUGUGGUUUAAUUCGACGCAACGCGAAGAACCUUACCGGAGCUUGACAUCCUAUGAAGACUGAUGUAAUGUUGGUCGUGCUCCUUCGGGAGAGCAUAGAGACAGGUGGUGCAUGGUUGUCGUCAGCUCGUGUCGUGAGAUGUUGGGUUAAGUCCCGCAACGAGCGCAACCCCUACGGUUAGUUGCUACGAAAGAGCACUCUAGCCGGACUGCCGUUGACAAAACGGAGGAAGGUGGGGACGACGUCAAAUCAUCAUGCCCCUUACGUUCCGGGCUACACACGUACUACAAUGGCGUGAACAAAGGGAAGCGAGAUCGCGAGAUGGAGCAAACCCCGGAAACACGCCCCAGUUCGGACUGCAGGCUGCAACCCGCCUGCACGAAGUUGGAAUUGCUAGUAAUCGCGGAUCAUCAUGCCG
rnacentral:rRNA from 1 species